AACGAGAUUCCCACUGUCCCUAACUACUAUCUAGCGAAACCACAGCCAAGGGAACGGGCUUGGCAAAAUCAGCGGGGAAAGAAGACCCUGUUGAGCUUGACUCUAGUCUGACUUUGUGAAGAGACAUGAGAGGUGUAGCAUAAGUGGGAGCUUUGGGAUCAAUCUUGACUAGAGUUUCGGCUUUAGUUGAGACCCCUUUGCGCCAAUGAAAUACCACUACUCUCAUCGUUUCUUUACUUACACGGUAAAAAGGAAAUUGUGAUAGUGUCUCUCUCUUCUGGGCUUCGGUUCAUGAACGAGGAGGCCACCUAUCACUAAAUUCUAGAGCAAAAUGUGGUUCCAACCAUACAUGCCUUUGACACCUAAGGUUCUCUUGUUCUUUACGGGACUUGAGACUUUAAAGACAAAGGUUUGGUUGGUAACCCGUGUAACUUGUACUCACGUACAAGACCUACACAACCGCAUAAUCCCAACCGUGGACAUUGUCAGGUUGGGGGUUUGACUGGGGCGGUACAUCUGUCAAAAGGUAACGCAGGUGUCCUAAGGC
rnacentral:rRNA from 1 species